AGCGCCCUUGAACAAGGCCGAAGGACCACCUGCGUGAAAGAGGAGACCCUCUCUGUUAUGUCUCUGCUAGGGAAUGAAAUAACAUGGAAUCCAGCUCUGCAAAUAACUCACAGUGGAGAUCAUUUUCCACAUGCUGCUUGACAAAAGGUUAAGAGGGGUUUGAGGAACCUGAUCCCAGAUCUGAUGAUCAUGUGUGAGCCAACAGGAGAAGCAGGACCUUGUCUUCUUCUAAACUGCGCAUCCAUCACAGGAAAAACAGGCAGCAACUGAUUCUGAUAGCCAGUACAAGGAUUGAAAAUAUGAAAAGCAACUGUGCCGCAGUCACUCAGGACUCCCCAUCCGUUUUUUCUGAGACGAAUCCUCCUUUCAUCCUCCUCAGCAGCGAGGGCCCUGGUGUCUUUUCGCACAAAGCCUGACCAUCAGUGACUCCUCGUCAACCCCUUGGUCCAAUUCAUCAAGCAGAGGCCCAUGGGCAUUCAUCACCCCCACCACCUUUCAUAUCCAGCACCAGCUGAAAGCCACCGUCCCUCCUCUGACUUCAAUGCAGCCAUGACACACCCAUAAGAUUUAUAGUGGCAUAAUUAGUAGCAGUGAGAAAGGCCUGCAUGCUUUAGAAGGUCCAUCAUGGCGUAUUCCACUCUGAGGGACUCUCAAAGCCUUUAACAUCUGCUUCAAAAUAGAUUGCACCACCACCACAAAAGUUGAUAAAUUAACCCCAAACAAGAAGUCAAGAAAUUCAUCAAAGCCUGACAGUGACAUCAAAACAAUCACAUGUUUAAAGACACUAUUUGUCACCAUUCACUGGGAGCAAGAUGCUGUCAUAAAUCCCAUUUCUCUACAGGGAAGCAGCGGCAGCCUGCGAUGAGCAGCUCUGAGGUGAGAACUCCCCCUCAGGAAGGGGGUUUCUGAAAACAGCUCGAAGGAGGUCUAAAAUAACACACUUAAUAGUUAAAUGGUGUUAUUGAUGUAAUCACGCCCUCCUUCCCCUCCCACACAACCCGCUGUCACUGAUAUCUCAGGAACAGUGAACUAAUUAAAACACUCCUGGAGUUUGUUUUCA